GAGCCUGAUGGUAAGGAGAGAUUCAGAGCAGGACUACAUUCAUUUUCUAAUUACUUCAUCAUGUAUCCAAAUAAAAUGACUUCUCUCCAAGAAGCAUGGUCUGGUGACAGCCUGACUGUCAGGGGAACAGGGUUCCAUAACAAGUGGCAAACCCAAGAUAUAAAUCCCCAGUCUGAUUGUGAAGCCUACAACUGGUGACACUUGCCAGUUCAGUCAACCAGAAGACAGACACAUCUAAGGGCUCACUAGCCCAGCCUCGGGAAUAAGCAGAGACACGAGAACCAGAGCAUGUGGAAGAUAUCCCCAAAAUUCUUUGGCACUAACUUCUUGGAUUUACAUAGUAUUUGCUCUAGGACUAUGGUAGCAAACUUAUGGCACAUGAGCCACAACAUGCUGUUCGUAUCAUCGAAAGCUCUAAAAGAAGAUCCCUCUAGCACAAUAUGGAAGAUCAACUGAAGGUGAGCCAUGACGGGAGCAGUAAGGAGGCGAAGUUAGUGAGACUCGAUGACAGUGGGUGUGAGAGAAAUGUCAGAACCAAGGAUGGCGCCAAGGUUACCAGUGACUGAAAUAGGAACAGAGGAAGAGAAGACAAUUUGUAAUGAUGGGUUCAGCUGCAGACACGUUGGUUUUUCAAUGCCUAUGGGAUAACCAGGUGAAUAGAAAGAUAAGUAAAUCUGGAGCUAAAUAUUGCUCAGACCCAGAAGUUCCCUCCCCCAAUCCCAGUCCUACUGAGGGAACUCUAAUGAGUGCACUUGAAACUCUCUUAGGAAAAGGAAAGAAAGAGACAGUAGACACCUCGGAGUUCCUGAGCUUCUGCUUGUGAUUGAGUGAGAGCAGAACAAGGAAGGAGUCUUAAGAACUAAAGCUUCGUAUAAGGAAAACUAUUGCCGGAGACAACAGGCAGCCACAAGUUGUAUCAUCCUUAUUUUCGUGAUAAACAGGAGGUCUGAAUGUUUGCAAGCCAAUAAAAUAUUUUGAAACCUUGAAGAUUAGUGUGCUUUAAGGUUUUGGAUGAAUGCCAUUCAGAAAGUGUUUCCUUUUUGAAGUUGUCAUUAUAAUAAUGAAUGUUUUGUAUUUGGGGAAGUGGUGUAAUAUUUGGAAUGUUCA